ensembl:lncRNA
CCAGGCCGGGCAGGGUCGAAGAGCGGGUCUCCGGCCGCCAUUUUGCGGCCGCCCGUGAGGGGCCCGGCCUCACCCCGUGCUCGUGCGUGAGUCCGAGGUGUGUCAGCGCACAUUUAUAUCCGUCGUGGGAACGGGGCCGAGCAGGGAGUGCUCCUGGGAGACGCUCAGGGAAUACAGCUCAGACACAAUUUCCUGUUUAAUUUCCUGGCUGUUUCUUACUUGGUAAAGGAAAAGCUGUAAAUUGCAAGAUUGCUUCAGAGACCUUCGCCUGACUUCAGAUGAACCGUUAACCACUUGCAGGAGAGAAUCCAGCAAACCAGCACAAAACUUGUAAAAACACCCUCAAUUUCUUUUAUAUCUUCUGCCAUUCACACUGAAAGGAAAGCUGUGCCAAAAAUAAAGGUUGGAAUAAUUUUCCUUGGAAAAAUCAAACAGGAGCAACUCCACCUCCAGCUGACCAGCCAGUCCUUGGGAAUGGAUGGAAAACGGCUUCCUGAGGAAGGAUCCACCUUAUCCUAACCUUGGCUGGCAAGUGUUCCGGGCACAAUUUCAGCAGCACCUUGGCCAUGCUGUGACACUAGUGCAGAGCCCUGGUGCUGGAGAAGACAAACAUGCUCAGCCCCUGGGGAGCUUCUCUUGCCAUCUGAUGGAAUGGGGAAAUUCCAAAGGCUACUGACAGCCCAGACACAGAGAAUCCAAAUUAAUUCUUGCUUUUAGGAUGGAAAUGUGGUGUGGGGGCUUGCAGUGGGAUGAACCAUGGUGAGUGCGUUGGUGUCCCUGGUACUUCCCAACAGCUGCUGUCUGAGCCUUCGUGGGAAAAGAAAAAUCAAAUUUCACUGCAGAAACCGAGAAACAGCAAAACUUCACUAUGAAAGUGCAAUUGGGAAGGUGAGCACAGAGGAGGAUCCUCUUGCUGCACGCCAGGCUGGAACAGGGAGUUGCAAUCUCCAGGCAGCAACUGGCAGAACGAGAGGACACAGUCUCAAGCUGCACCAAGGGAAAUAGAGGCUGAGUCCCUUUGGUGUGGAGAUGGGCAGCACAAGAGAUGGAUGUCCCUGCAGAGCGGCACCUCUCCAGCCCUGCUUUCGUCCUCUUGCUCCACUCUCAGGCAGGACAGGACUGAGCUGUGAGCAGGCAGGAGCUGCAGGGGAAGGGUGCCCUGUAGCAUCACACCCACAUUCCUGACCGGGCUGCUGGAUCCUGGUUUGGCCAGAAAAGCAGGUGCCUCACUGGACCGGGACAGGAGUGGGGCUUGCAGCACGGGCUGGGGUCAUGCUCCCAGCAGCAAGGCUGGGCACGCAUCAGGAUAUCCAGGCACAGAGAGGCCCUGGCUAAAUCCCAUCGGCCGGCUGUGGCCUUCUCGGCGGCUGCCUUCGGGCUGCAGGAGAACAGCCCUUCGUCACGGUGCGGGACCAUGGCAGAGCAUCCCUCCUGCCCGUUGGGCCGGCCGGCUUGCGGGGCCGGGCAGAAGCGAGACAGCCCCCAGCACACAUUGGCAGCAAGCCCGCGUGAGAGACAAGGACUUGUGGCUCUCGGCAUGAGCAGAUCGCAGCACGGAGCCGCGGUGUGGCCUCAACCCG